CCUACGGGAGGCAGCAGUGGGGAAUAUUGGGCAAUGGGCGCAAGCCUGACCCAGCAAUGCCGCGUGAAGGAAGAAGGCUUUCGGGUUGUAAACUUCUUUGACAGGGGAAGUGCAGAAGACGGUACCCUGAAAACAAGCUACGGCUAACUACGUGCCAACAGCCGCGGUAAUACGGAGGUGGCAAGCGUUGUCCGGAUUUACUGGGUGUAAAGGGCGUGUAGCCGGGAAGGUAAGUCAGAUGUGAAAUCUGGAGGCUCAACCUCCAAAUUGCAUUUGAAACUGUUUUUCUUGAGUACUGGAGAGGCAGACGGAAUUCCUUGUGUAGCGGUGAAAUGCGUAGAUAUAAGGAGGAACACCAGUGGCGAAGGCGGUCUGCUGGACAGCAACUGACGGUGAGGCGCGAAAGCGUGGGGAGCAAACAGGAUUAGAUACCCCUGUAGUC
rnacentral:rRNA from 1 species